rnacentral:lncRNA from 1 species
GGGGUUUUAAUUUAAGUAUGGGGUUUCUAUGUACUGUUUAAGUGUUUAACAGAACCGAUUAAUCUCCGGUGAGGACGUUGGUCAGCCUGAAAGUAUAGGUCGUUAAGCUUAGGGAAAGCGCGUCAGACCUUGUUUGGUGGUCCCGUCACUGAGUAAAACACUUAGCUGUUCUUAGAGUAAUGCCAUUAAGACUUAUUAAGAUCCCAUAAGCC